AAUUUGUCCAAAUAAGAAAUUAAGAACCAAUUUCUAGGGUUUUUAUUUCGGCGGCCAGGAGUCUUUCUUCUUAUUCUACCGUUGCAGCUGCUGCUUUUGAUCCAUGGCUCCAGUUCCAGGACCGUACUCUGGUGUCAGCACCCUAGCUUUCGUAGCACGUGCUUCUGCCGUGACCUUUGGGGUCGUCUACGGUAGCUUCAAGCUCUCUUAUCUCAAGGCAAAGGCGAAGUCUCAUAAAAAGGCAGAUGCUGGACACCACUAAACUUUCCAUGGAAUGAUUGAGGCCGGCGGCAGUCUUUUUUUGCAGUAUACUCUAUUUCAGUGGUUGCAGCUUCGUGUUAACAAAUGAACCCAUAGAGAUUCUUGUCGACAUGAUGACAUUUAUUCCGGCAAAAUAAUAUUUCAUUAUGCAAUGAAUCAUUGUGGAAUAUGGUUGUAAUACUUCAAAUUGCAUUUUGGUGUUUCACAUUGUAUGCUUGUUGUUUGUGUGGCAGAACGAUAUAGCGUCCAUUGAUGGGAACUCUUUUUAGAUUUCAGUCUUCGUUA